rnacentral:rRNA from 1 species
GACGAACGCUGGCGGCGUGCUUAACACAUGCAAGUCGAACGGAAAGGCCCUGCUUUUGUGGGGUGCUCGAGUGGCGAACGGGUGAGUAACACGUGAGUAACCUGCCCUUGACUUUGGGAUAACUUCAGGAAACUGGGGCUAAUACCGGAUAGGAGCUCCUGCUGCAUGGUGGGGGUUGGAAAGUUUCGGCGGUUGGGGAUGGACUCGCGGCUUAUCAGCUUGUUGGUGGGGUAGUGGCUUACCAAGGCUUUGACGGGUAGCCGGCCUGAGAGGGUGACCGGCCACAUUGGGACUAAGAUACGGCCCAGACUCCUACGGGAGGCAGCAGUGGGGAAUAUUGCACAAUGGGCGCGAGCCUGAUGCAGCAACGCCGCGUGCGGGAUGAAGGCCUUCGGGUUGUAAACCGCUUUCGCCUAUGACGAAGCGUGAGUGACGGUAAUGGGUAAAGAAGCACCGGCUAACUACGUG